UACGGGGGGGGCAAGCGUUGUUCGGAAUUACUGGGCGUAAAGGGCUCGUAGGCGGCCAACUAAGUCAGACGUGAAAUCCCCAGGCUCAACCUGGGAACUGCGUCUGAUACUGGAUGGCUUGAAUCCGGGAGAGGGAUGCAGAAUUCCAGGUGUAGCGGUGAAAUGCGUAGAUAUCAGGAGGAACACCAAUUGCGAAGGCAGCUCGCUGGGACGUUACUGACGCUGAGACGCGAAAGCGUGGGGAGCAAACAGG
rnacentral:rRNA from 1 species